rnacentral:rRNA from 1 species
UACGUAUGGUGCAAGCGUUAUCCGGAUUUACUGGGUGUAAAGGGAGCGUAGACGGAAGAGCAAGUCUGGAGUGAAAGCCCGGGGCUCAACCCCGGGACUGCUUUGGAAACUGUUUAUCUAGAGUGCCGGAGAGGCAAGCGGAAUUCCUAGUGUAGCGGUGAAAUGCGUAGAUAUUAGGAGGAACACCAGUGGCGAAGGCGGCUUGCUGGACGGUAACUGACGUUGAGGCUCGAAAGCGUGGGGAGCAAACAGG